ACCUUUGUGUUCAUUGUGACCCUUGUGUUCCUUGUGACUCUUGUGUUCAUUGUGAGUAGUUGAAAUACGUUUCCUCGUAUACUCGUAUUCGCCAGCACCCAAACUGCUUUGUGUUUUCUUCUCAAAGUUGUAGAGUAAGACACUUCCACACCAAUUUUUCUUUGAACCAAAGUGAUGAGAGUUUUAUGAUUUAGGGUUUCCAUUUGUCCCAGAUAAUCAUCAUGAGGAACUUUUCUUUCAUUUUCCUUACUAAACAUGAACAAUUGACGAUAUUCUUCUGCUCCUCGACAUU
rnacentral:lncRNA from 1 species